UUUGUUUUAGUGACACGUCAGGCGUUCUGAUAGAAGCUCACUGUCAUUUAUUAAUAUGGCUACCAAGUUGAGGGAGGUGAAGAGAAAAGUGCCACUGUUUGGGAGGAGGAAAACUCACAAUGUGGAUUAUUUAGAAACAGCCAUGUUUAAGAUGCGGCAUGGAGACGAAGAAGUUUCAUGUCUUUAUCAACGAAGCUGCUAAACUGUACCCACCGCCAUCGGUCUGACAAUAUCAACACCACACCGGGACAACGGUGGAUGCAAGCAUGUCGUCGCCUUCAUCUUUGCUGUUGUGGAUUUUGUCAAGCAAUUUGAGAUGCAGUCUGGAACUGUGAAACUGACCUGCACAAACAUACCUUGCACCUGUGAUAAACUUCACAAAGUAAAUGAAAUGAAAAGCUGUGCAACAUUGAAAACAGGUACUUACCCUUCAAAACAAUUUAUGCACUUUGGGAUGCAGUAAGGAACCAGAUUGACUAUCACCACUUUUGAUGACCACUAGUGGUUUCUUGAACUUCUGUGGAAGAGACAAGGUGUUAGAUACUGAUACUGAUGUGCAGGGAAAUAGAAAAUAAUAAUAAUAAAAAUAAAUGAGUUAAUAAAUAAAUAAAAAUUGCUGAAAACAAGCUAAUGAAUGGGGAACAUAUCCUGUGUGAUGUGUUGCUUAACCCACUGACUACUUCCAUCACUGAGGGCUACAUCAAUGAUCUUGACUUGGAUUACUUAAAAGAAACUUAUUUAUGCUACUAAUGGUCAUGGAAACAAAGAAUGUUUGUAAAACCAAUAAACAGAGCCUGGAGAAUAUAUGUUUGCUAUCCCUGUUGUGCUGUAACAUUUGUAGACUGACUGUUGGUGAGGGUAGGUGCACACCACAGCACUUUUUGGAUACUGGAGGAUCUCAAGUAAGGCACAAAAAAGGCUGCUUUCAUAAGGAAAAAUAAGAAUUAAACCUGUUACUAAAUUCCAUUCAUUCACUGGAAGGAGGAAGCUGGAAUGAGCAAGCUGAGUGGACUAAGGUGAAUGUGUAAGCUGAGUGUUGGUUGGCCAUUGUCAUUUAUUCCCCAUUCAGGUAUUUCUUUGUUUUUACUGCAUUUUACAUUAUGUUGCAAUUCAUAUGGUCCAUCAUAUUUCAUGUAUACUAAAAGAUGAUAAGCGCAAUAUUCCAGCCUAUAAAGAAUAAAGAAUUGAUGAACAAAAUCUCUCAAAGAAUGCAUCAUCAAUGUUGCCAAGUAUGUGAGUAGUACACACAACAGUUUUCAAUACAUUCAAAUAAAAAUCUUGCACUAUUGCAGUAUUUUUAUUAUAAUUCAUUAAUACUAAAAGACAAUAAUAAUCAAAACACUCAAACUUACCAUGUGAAAUAAAGGAAUAAAGAGCAAAACAUAUUUGUGAAUGUUGUGGAAAUUUCCACUAUUGUGCAUAAUACCAAUGCCUUAUUGGUUUAUGGUGUGAUUUGUAUAUAAAUUGUAAAGUUAAAUUAAGGGAUAAUUAAGGUUAAUUUAGUAAAAACUAAGUAUUAGUUGCUUUUAUAAAUAAAUUGGGAAUUAGAGAUAUGGAGAUGAUUAUAGGUAGCUAUUGUUUUUGAUAUAGGAAGGAGCCCACGAGGAGUGGAACUGCCUGACUCGCAGCUGCCUUUCAAGUCAUAUCUACUCCACUUUGAAUAUUCACUAAGUUGCUAAGAACUUAGAACCCCGGAAACCUGCACAGCAGCAAAUAAUCUGUCUUUGCUAUGAAAACACAGUUAGCCACUGGCCUGGAAUGCACAGUGACACCAACUCACCACCGACCACAGCCAGCCCAAACCACAGGAGUUGCUAGUCCAAAGGCCUGGCUCAGGAGUGAUCCUGUGCCACCUGUACCAUCAAGAUCCUUGCUGACCAGACUUGAAUCAACAAUGAGACACUGGUUUCAGAGCCUGUUAAAGCACACAAACACUUUGAGGUGGUGGUGGUGGUGGGAGAGUGGGAGUACCUUCAGUCCUCUUCCCUCACCCACCAAGACCGAGGAGCAGUGAAGGCGU